ACACUGCUGACGAGUCCCGAUCAGGACGAAACAACUGUCCAGUGC
rnacentral:hammerhead_ribozyme from 1 species